AUACAGGCUUUUUUCCAGUUUUAUAGGCUAUAUUGAAACUUGGCUAUUUUUUAAUCUACACACUAGCUUUUUUGGCUGACCAAAGUUUUAUUUCUCGUUGUUUUUAGGCAAAUUUUGGCUAAUUUAACGUUUUUCUUUUUAGGUUUUUUAGGCUGUUUUGGAGUUUAGCUAAUACUUCAGCCACAUGCUAGCUGCUUUGGCUAACCUAUUUUCUUUUCUUUUUUUUUUUUAGGCCAAUUUGGGAUUUAGCUAAUAUUUUAGCUGGCUAUCAACUUCCGCGUUUUAAGCUAUCGUGGCACUGUGUGAUUAAAACAGACAUUUAAAAUAGUUGCCCCCCCAUUCAUUUUAUUUUAAGUCAUAAACGAUUAGUAAAACUAGUCUUAUACAUAUCUGAAUACAUUCUCUGUGUUAAAAAAGGUCUUUUCUUUAGUACUUAGUUUCACCAGCAGAGGGCGCUUGGCACUUAGGUCAUCAGUAGUUGACACCGGAAGGAGGAGCUCAGUCACUACGUGAUGAGCGAGUCAGCAGAACGCGACCAAGCGCGCAGCAGUUAUUGAUUGUUUUAUUGUUUAUCUUACAGGCAGAGAGCCACAUAAAGGUGAAGAAGAAAUUCAGCUGAGGCGCCCAGGGACGUCAUGACAGCUGACGGGGUCAACAUUGAAGUUGUGAUGAAAGCAAACUUCCACCUGUGACGCCAAUCACUCCAACUCUGAAAGACAGGUGCCAGUCUCCAACCUAGCUGUCACGUCGCAUGCCUUCUACUCAGGGGAAGAAUGAGCAGGAGAAGACGUGCAGAGCUUUCAGAAGGCUGUUCAUUAAAAAAAUGAAGGAAAAAAGAAUGGAGCAGAUGCUGAGAUGAAAAGCAAGUGAGAGCUUGACUCAACGAUAUCAGGUGUUCAGGUGUUCAGGUGCGUUGUAAAUCAUCGUCCCGUGGGCACACCUGCAUAACCUGAACUUCACUCAGCACCUUGAGGAGGACCAGAAACACCCUGCAAUUUGGGUCACCACAUGGAAGGGUUUUGACUCGAUGCCCUUCCUGACACCACCCUGCACUUUAUCCGGGCUGGGGACCGGUACAGGGAGACCCAGACUGAGGCCCCCCUGUGGCUACAUAGUUAGUAUGAAGGGUGUUGGCCAAGGACCACAGUGGGAUUCAGACUAUGAUUUCCCAUGUUCUGUGUCAUCUAGAAGAACAUUUACCAGGUAGUAUUCUUUUGAUGCUACAAUCCAAACCCUGUUGCCAGUCAAAGAGGAAAGUGGGAAGAAAGAAAGCAGCAAACCUGUCCGUGGGUGGAUACCUCAGUGAACGGCUUGUACACAGCUGGAAAACUGAUCCUACUUCAAACAGCCAUAUGAAUCAGAGUGGUAUCAGUGGCACCGCCCACUCAAAAGUAAUAAAAGCCUUUUUUUUUCUUUUCUUUGUGUACAUGUGUUCUUUACAAGAACUGAAAGAAAAAGUGAGUACAGAACACAAAGACUUUUUAUGUUUAUGACUUAACAGUCUUUUUCCGGUUUUUGUAAAUGAUUCAUCAAAUUUAAACAUUAAACUAAACCGAUUCGUUUCUCCGA